rnacentral:lncRNA from 1 species
GGAAGUACAGAGGGGCAAGAGCGGUUCCUGGUAAAUAUGAAGCAAAGAUGUAUUUCCCAAUUCAUCCGUUGCAGGCGAUUGCGUGGUCACUGCUGAUCCACCCUGCUGUGAGAAGCUCCGCUUGGAACUGUGGGUGCCCUGUGUGUCCUCUGAGGGAGGCUCCUCGGUGGCCCUGCCAGUGGCUCCAGCUGUGGAGGGCUUGCUCUUCCCUACAUUCAGGGUCAGACGUUUUGAACGCAUCAACUCUCUUAAUCAGCAUGACACCGUUUUGAGGCAGGAAUAAGCACCAUCCUUCUUUCCAGUCUAAUUAACACAAUAACUCACUUGGUUGCUCAAGACCAUAUCUGAAUAGCAGCUACCCUCGAGAUGGUAAGAUGACAGAUGUCUGGCUUUCUUGCAAUGUGGAGUAAGCAACUUUGAUCAGAAGGAGGCAUCAGGCAUGCCACAGAAGGGAAAGUACUCAGGAAGACUAAACACAGCCUCUACGACCAUAAGACGAUGGGUGCAAUAUACAAGGACCUUGUGAAGAAGCAAGGUAGGAUACAGGAGUGAAAACAGGACACUCUACAGUGUUUGUAGCCUAAUGGCCAGAAGGCAAUGUAGCCUAGAGCAUCUUUCCUCUUGGCCAAGUGGAUCUGCUGCAUGUGCACGUGUUAGAGUGACAUAUGUAGUACCUGAUGUCAUCACAUGGCCCUCGUGAGACCAUACAGCACCAUCUGGGAUCUAGGCCAGCUGUGAAUGACUCGAGGCACAGCUAACAGUUCUGGUUCUUUAGGGCUACUCCUGAAGUAACACUGAUAUUUCUAAGACUUGGAAGAACAGGAGGGGACCUGGGUCCCUGAUCCUCUCCUAGCCCAAGAUAUCUGUCA